rnacentral:rRNA from 1 species
AGCGCGGUUGUAGCAAUACGACUGGCGGCGACCGGCGCAAGGGUGCGUAACGCGUGAGCGACAUGCCCGUAACCGGGGGAUAACCGAUGGAAACGUCGCCUAACCCCCCAUAACACCAGUUUCUGCAUGGUGACUGGUUGAAAACUUUGGUGGUUACGGAUUGGCUCGCGUGACAUUAGGUAGACGGCGGGGUAACGGCCCACCGUGCCGACGAUGUCUAGGGGUUCUGAGAGGAAGGUCCCCCACAAUGGAACUGGGACACGGUCCAUACUCCUACGGGAGGCAGCAGUGAGGAAUAUUGGUCAAUGGGCGGAAGCCUGAACCAGCCAUGCCGCGUGCGGGACGAACCGGCCCUAUGGGUUGUAAACCGCUUUUGAGAGGGAGCAAUAAGGUGGUCGAGCACCAUCGAUGAGAGUACCUUUCGAAUAAGCAUCGGCUAACUCCGUGCCAGCAGCGGC